GGACUACUAGGGUUUCUAAUCCUGUUCGCUCCCCACGCUUUCGCUCCUCAGUGUCAGGUAAGGCCCAGAGAACCGCCUUCGCCACCGGUGUUCCUCCUGAUAUCUGCGCAUUUCACCGCUACACCAGGAAUUCCAUUCUCCCCUACCUACCUCUAGUCUGCCCGUAUCCACUGCAAGCCCAGGGUUAAGCCCUAGGAUUUCACAGCAGACGUAACAAACCACCUACGAGCUCUUUACGCCCAAUAAUUCCGGACAACGCUUGCGCCCUACGUGUUACCGCGGCUGCUGGCAC
rnacentral:rRNA from 1 species